CAGCCGCCACGGGAAAACGGAGGGAGCUAGCGUUGUUCGGAAUUACUGGGCGUAAAGCGCGCGUAGGCGGUUACUCAAGUCAGAGGUGAAAGCCCGGGGCUCAACCCCGGAACUGCCUUUGAAACUAGGUGACUAGAAUCUUGGAGAGGUCAGUGGAAUUCCGAGUGUAGAGGUGAAAUUCGUAGAUAUUCGGAAGAACACCAGUGGCGAAGGCGACUGACUGGACAAGUAUUGACGCUGAGGUGCGAAAGCGUGGGGAGCAAACAGGAUUAGAUACCCGGGUAGUCCCUGUCUCUUAUAC
rnacentral:rRNA from 1 species